rnacentral:rRNA from 1 species
UACAGAGGUCUCAAGCGUUGUUCGGAUUCAUUGGGCGUAAAGGGUGCGUAGGCGGCGCGGUAAGUCGGGUGUGAAAUCUCGGGGCUUAACUCCGAAACUGCAUUCGAUACUGCCGUGCUUGAGGACUGGAGAGGAGACUGGAAUUUACGGUGUAGCGGUGAAAUGCGUAGAUAUCAGGAGGAACACCGGUGGCGAAGGCGGGUCUCUGGGCCGAUACUGACGCUGAGGAGCGAAAGCGUGGGGAGCAAACAGG